rnacentral:misc_RNA from 1 species
UUUUCCAUUGAAUGCCAAGUGUUUUCAUUGGUGCUUAGUUAUGCACUACGUUGUGUUCACCUCAUACUAUCCGGACUUUAGUCUCGUUCUGGCUUUCAACUAGUCACCCAUCACACACACUCACAAAAAAAUCUAUAUAUAUUAACUCACAAACACACACGACUGUUAUAAAUAAUUUUAAUAAUUAAAGUGUUUAUUAUUAUGAAUAAAUAGUUAAAUUUAAUUAACAGUUAUUGUUUUAUAUUAUUAAAAAAUGAGUGAAAAACGUAAUAAGUUAUACAGACACAGAGUACGUGAUAAUGUAACUCGUGAAAAUAAACAAGAAAUACCAGUUGAACGUAGAUAUCGUCAUGAAUUACCAGACGAAUUUGGAAUGGUUUCUCGUGCUACAAAACCGCCAAUGGCCUUGCUAGAUGAGAAUGUAAAUCGUGUGCCAGGAAAUAACAGAUAUCAAGAAAUAGAACGUCCAGCGAGACGAGAAAAAAUUGAGAAAUUGUCUACGAUGGAUUCAUCAAUGGAAAAAAAAAAUAUAAAAGAGGACAAAGGACAUCCAGUACAGGUAGUCUUGGCACAUCCAAAUCAUACCUUUGAACUUGACGAGGAAGCCCUGUCAGAUAUUUUACUUCAAGAUGACAUAAAAGACCGCAGUGUUGUGGUUGUCUCUGUUGCUGGUGCAUUCAGAAAAGGAAAAAGCUUUUUGCUUGAUUUUUUUUUACGUUACAUGGACAGCAAGUACAUCGACAAACAAACAGAUGAUUCAUGGCUUGGUAAUGAUGAUGAACCAUUGAGUGGUUUUUCAUGGCGUGGUGGUUCAGAAAGAGAAACAACUGGUAUAUUAAUGUGGUCAAAAGUAUAUCCAACAACAUUACCAAAUGGUGAAAAAAUAGCUGUUAUAUUGAUGGAUACACAAGGUGCAUUUGACAGUCAAUCAACAGUUAGAGAUUGUGCAACUGUAUUUGCAUUAAGUACAAUGUUAUCAUCAGUACAAAUAUUUAAUUUAUCAUCAAAUAUACAAGAAGAUGAUUUACAACAUUUACAAUUAUUCACUGAAUAUGGAAGACUUGCACUUGAAAAAUCUGGCUCAACACCAUUUCAAAGAUUACAAUUUUUAGUUAGAGAUUGGACGUAUCCAUAUGAAGCUGAAUAUGGUGCUGAUGGUGGUUUUAAAUUAUUACAAAGACGUUUAGAAGUAUCUGAUAUGCAACAUCCAGAAUUACAAAGUUUACGUAAACAUAUUAAAUCAUGUUUUUCUGAUAUAUCAUGUUUUUUAAUGCCACAUCCAGGAUUAAAAAUUGCAACAAAUCCAAAAUUUGAUGGUAGAUUAUCAGAAAUUGAAACAGAUUUUAAAAAACAAUUGAGAAAAUUAAUACCAACAUUAUUAGCACCUGAAAAUUUAGUUACUAAAAAAAUUAAUGGACAAUCUGUUAAAGCUAAAGAUUUAGUUGCAUAUUUUAAAUGUUAUAUUGAAAUAUAUAAAGGUGAUGAAUUACCACAACCUAAAAGUAUGCUUGAGGCAACUGCUGAGGCAAAUAAUUUAUCAGCUGUUGCUGAAGCUAAAGAUCUGUAUUUACAAUUGAUGGAGUGUGUUUGUGGUGGAACAAAACCAUUUUUAGCAACAGCACAUUUAGAAUCAGAGCAUAAAAGAUGUGUAGAAAAAGCAAUUUAUCAAUUUUCAAAUAAACGAAAAAUGGGAGGUGACGAUUUUAGUGAAAAAUAUAGAGAAAAAUUAAGCAAGGAUAUGGAUGAAGCAUUUCUUCAAUUUAAAGCACACAAUGAAUCAAAAAAUAUAUUUAAAGCAGCUCGUACACCAGCAGUAUUUUUUACAAUUGCUAUUAUAACAUAUAUUUUAUCUGGUGUAUUUGGAUUAAUUGGUAUUUAUCCAGUUGCUAAUUUUUGUAACCUCACAAUGGGAGUUGCACUAUUGACACUUGCUUUAUGGGCAUACAUAAGAUGGAGUGGUGAAUUUCGAGAAGUUGGUACUCAAAUUGAUGCUCUGGCAAGUGCAAUGUGGGACAAUGCCUGGCUAUGCGCUCAUCUAGCUCAUAAAAUACGUUACCUUGUCCUAUCCUUUUUCAUAACAUUAGCAGCAAUACCAACUUAUACCAUUGUGUAUACCCAUUUUCGUAAACAUGGUUACAUAUGAUCCCACGCUUAAUUUAUUAAUUAUCAUCAACAUUUUAUUAAUUUAUUAUUUCAUCUUAUUUUUUAACAUAAAUAAUCGAUGGUUCACUAUUUAAUUAGAUAAUAUAUAUUUAAAAAAAAGAAAAACACUUAGUAACAUUAACAAACACACAUACACUUUGUUUUCUUGAAUUUUAAUUGUAUAAUUUUGUCCCUAAAUAAUCCCGAGUGCGUUUUGGAAUCAUCAAUCAAGUUUAUGAAGCCAAUUUAUCAACAGUUUGUGGAAAAAUCAGUUUCUGUUGCUGUCGCACAAGCAACUGAAGCAGCAACCAAUGUAACAAUGAGUGCUGUUAAUGGAAAGCCUAAAC